GGCUGCUAAUGAAAGAGGGAAAUGAAGAUAAAGACCAGAUAGGAAGACAAACAUUACUAAACACAGGUUACUAAAAUUUAUACUGUUCCUUCUCACUACUGCACUUGACUGGUCUUAA
rnacentral:sRNA from 1 species